rnacentral:rRNA from 1 species
AGAGUUUGAUCCUGGCUCAGAUUGAACGCUGGCGGCAGGCCUAACACAUGCAAGUCGAGCGGUAGAGAGAAGCUUGCUUCUCUUGAGAGCGGCGGACGGGUGAGUAAUGCCUAGGAAUCUGCCUGGUAGUGGGGGAUAACGUUCGGAAACGGACGCUAAUACCGCAUACGUCCUACGGGAGAAAGCAGGGGACCUUCGGGCCUUGCGCUAUCAGAUGAGCCUAGGUCGGAUUAGCUAGUUGGUGAGGUAAUGGCUCACCAAGGCGACGAUCCGUAACUGGUCUGAGAGGAUGAUCAGUCACACUGGAACUGAGACACGGUCCAGACUCCUACGGGAGGCAGCAGUGGGGAAUAUUGGACAAUGGGCGAAAGCCUGAUCCAGCCAUGCCGCGUGUGUGAAGAAGGUCUUCGGAUUGUAAAGCACUUUAAGUUGGGAGGAAGGGUUGUAGAUUAAUACUCUGCAAUUUUGACGUUACCGACAGAAUAAGCACCGGCUAACUCUGUGCCAGCAGCCGCGGUAAUACAGAGGGUGCAAGCGUUAAUCGGAAUUACUGGGCGUAAAGCGCGCGUAGGUGGUUUGUUAAGUUGGAUGUGAAAUCCCCGGGCUCAACCUGGGAACUGCAUUCAAAACUGACUGACUAGAGUAUGGUAGAGGGUGGUGGAAUUUCCUGUGUAGCGGUGAAAUGCGUAGAUAUAGGAAGGAACACCAGUGGCGAAGGCGACCACCUGGACUAAUACUGACACUGAGGUGCGAAAGCGUGGGGAGCAAACAGGACUAGAUACCCUGGUAGUCCACGCCGUAAACGAUGUCAACUAGCCGUUGGAAGCCUUGAGCUUUUAGUGGCGCAGCUAACGCAUUAAGUUGACCGCCUGGGGAGUACGGCCGCAAGGUUAAAACUCAAAUGAAUUGACGGGGGCCCGCACAAGCGGUGGAGCAUGUGGUUUAAUUCGAAGCAACGCGAAGAACCUUACCAGGCCUUGACAUCCAAUGAACUUUCUAGAGAUAGAUUGGUGCCUUCGGGAACAUUGAGACAGGUGCUGCAUGGCUGUCGUCAGCUCGUGUCGUGAGAUGUUGGGUUAAGUCCCGUAACGAGCGCAACCCUUGUCCUUAGUUACCAGCACGUUAUGGUGGGCACUCUAAGGAGACUGCCGGUGACAAACCGGAGGAAGGUGGGGAUGACGUCAAGUCAUCAUGGCCCUUACGGCCUGGGCUACACACGUGCUACAAUGGUCGGUACAGAGGGUUGCCAAGCCGCGAGGUGGAGCUAAUCCCAUAAAACCGAUCGUAGUCCGGAUCGCAGUCUGCAACUCGACUGCGUGAAGUCGGAAUCGCUAGUAAUCGCGAAUCAGAAUGUCGCGGUGAAUACGUUCCCGGGCCUUGUACACACCGCCCGUCACACCAUGGGAGUGGGUUGCACCAGAAGUAGCUAGUCUAACCUUCGGGAGGACGGUUACCACGGUGUGAUUCAUGACUGGGGUGAAGUCGUAACAAGGU